rnacentral:rRNA from 1 species
GAGUGAACGCUGGCGGUAGGCCUACCACAUGCAAGUCGAACGGCAGCACAGUAAGAGCUUGCUCUUACGGGUGGCGAGUGGCGGACGGGUGAGGAAUACAUCGGAAUCUACUUUUUCGUGGGGGAUAACGUAGGGAAACUUACGCUAAUACCGCAUACGACCUACGGGUGAAAGCAGGGGAUCUUCGGACCUUGCGCGAUUGAAUGAGCCGAUGUCGGAUUAGCUAGUUGGCGGGGUAAAGGCCCACCAAGGCGACGAUCCGUAGCUGGUCUGAGAGGAUGAUCAGCCACACUGGAACUGAGACACGGUCCAGACUCCUACGGGAGGCAGCAGUGGGGAAUAUUGGACAAUGGGCGCAAGCCUGAUCCAGCCAUACCGCGUGGGUGAAGAAGGCCUGCGGGUUGUAAAGCCCUUUUGUUGGGAAAGAAAAGCAGCAGGUUAAUACCCCGCUGUUCUGACGGUACCCAAAGAAUAAGCACCGGCUAACUUCGU